rnacentral:rRNA from 1 species
UGGGGAAUCUUGGACAAUGGGGGCAACCCUGAUCCAGCCAUGCCGCGUGUGUGAAGAAGGCCUGCGGGUUGUAAAGCACUUUCAGUAGAGAAGAAAAGCUCAUGGUUAAUACCCGUGAGUCUUGACGUAACCUACAGAAGAAGCACCGGCUAACUCCGUGCCAGCAGCCGCGGUAAUACGGAGGGUGCGAGCGUUAAUCGGAAUUACUGGGCGUAAAGCGCGCGUAGGCGGUUUUGUAAGUCAGAUGUGAAAGCCCCGGGCUUAACCUGGGAAUUGCAUUUGAUACUGCUGAACUAGAGUAUGGUAGAGGGAGGUGGAAUUUCCGGUGUAGCGGUGAAAUGCGUAGAUAUCGGAAGGAACACCAGUGGCGAAGGCGACUUCCUGGGCCAAUACUGACGCUGAGGUGCGAAAGCGUGGGGAGCAAACAGGAUUAGAUACCCCUGUAGUCC